rnacentral:rRNA from 2 species
UACGGAGGAUCCAAGCGUUGUCCGGAUUUAUUGGGUUUAAAGGGUGCGUAGGUGGAUAAUUAAGUCAGGGGUGAAAGCCUGCAGCUCAACUGUAGAACUGCCCUUGAAACUGAUUAUCUUGAAUAUGGUUGAGGUAGGCGGAAUGUGUCAUGUAGCGGUGAAAUGCUUAGAUAUGAUACAGAACACCAAUUGCGAAGGCAGCUUACUAAGCCAUUAUUGACACUGAGGCACGAAAGCAUGGGGAGCAAACAGG